GAAUCUUCCGCAAUGCACGAGAGUGUGACGGAGCGACGCCGCGUGGAGGAGAAGUCCUUCGGGAUGUAAACUCCUGUCAGGGGAAAGAAAGUUCUGAUCUACCCCAGAGGAAGAGGCGGCUAACUCUGUGCCAGCAGCCGCGGUAAUACAGAGGCCUCGAGCGUUAGGCGGAAUCACUGGGCUUAAAGCGUGUGUAGGUGGAUGCCUAAGUACCUUGUGAAAGCCCACGGCUUAACUGUGGAACUGCUGGGUAUACUGGGUGUCUUGAGCAACUCAGGGGCUACUGGAACAAACGGUGGAGCGGUGAAAUGCGUAGAUAUCGUUUGGAACGCCAAUGGUGAAAACAAGUAGCUGGGGGUGUGCUGACACUGAGACACGAAAGCCAGGGGAGCGAACGGG
rnacentral:rRNA from 1 species